rnacentral:rRNA from 1 species
CCUACGGGUGGCAGCAGUGGGGAAUAUUGGACAAUGGGGGGAACCCUGAUCCAGCCAUGCCGCGUGUGUGAAGAAGGCCCUCGGGUUGUAAGGCACUUUCAGUGAGGAAGAACGCCUGGUGGUUAAUACCCAUCAGGAAAGACAUCACUCACAGAAGAAGCACCGGCUAACUCCGUGCCAGCAGCCGCGGUAAUACGGAGGGUGCGAGCGUUAAUCGGAAUUACUGGGCGUAAAGCGCGCGUAGGUGGCUUGAUAAGCCGGUUGUGAAAGCCCCGGGCUCAACCUGGGAACGGCAUCCGGAACUGUCAAGCUAGAGUGCAGGAGAGGAAGGUAGAAUUCCCGGUGUAGCGGUGAAAUGCGUAGAGAUCGGGAGGAAUACCAGUGGCGAAGGCGGCCUUCUGGACUGACACUGACACUGAGGUGCGAAAGCGUGGGUAGCAAACAGGAUUAGAUACCCUAGUAGUC